rnacentral:rRNA from 1 species
AAUGAACGUUGGCGGCGUGGAUUAGGCAUGCAAGUCGCGCGAUAACCCGCAAGGGGGACAGCGGCGAAAGGGACAGUAAUGUGUAGAUUAUCUACCUCGAAGACUGGGAUAGCUGCGGGAAACUGCAGGUAAUACCGGAUAACGUCUCCGGACCAAAGGUGUGAGUCCGCUUCGAGAUGAGUCUGCAUCCUAUUAGCUAGUUGGUAGGGUAACGGCCUACCAAGGCAAUGAUGGGUAGCGGGUGUGAGAGCACGACCCGCGUCAUUGGGACUGAGACACUGCCCAGACACCUACGGGUGGCUGCAGUCGAGAAUCUUCGGCAAUGGACGCAAGUCUGACCGAGCGACGCCGCGUGUGGGAUGAAGGCCUUCGGGUUGUAAACCACUGUCAGUGGGGAGGAAGGCUCCGUGAAGAGCGGGGUUUGACCUAUCCGCAGAGGAAGUGAGGGCUAAGCUCGUGCCAGCCGCCGCCGUAAAAC